GAUGAACGCUGGCGGCGUGCUUAACACAUGCCAGUCGAACGGAAAGGCCCUGCUUUUGUGUGGUGCUCGAGUGGCGAACGGGUGAGUAACACGUGAGUAACCUGCCCUUGACUUUGGGAUAACUUCAGGAAACUGGGGCUAAUACCGGAUAGGAGCUCCUGCUGCAUGGUGGGGGUUGGAAAGUUUCGGCGGUUGGGGAUGGACUCGCGGCUUAUCAGCUUGUUGGUGGGGUAGUGGCUUACCAAGGCUUUGACGGGUAGCCGGCCUGAGAGGGUGACCGGCGACAAUGGGACUGAGAUACGGACCAGACUCCUACGGGAGGCAGCAGUGGGGAAUAUUGCACAAUGGGCGGAAGCCUGAUGCAGCAACGCCGCGUGCGGGAUGACGGCCUUCGGGUUGUAAACCGCUUUCGCCUGUGACGAAGCGUGAGUGACGGUAAUGGGUAAAGAAGCACCGGCUAACUACGUG
rnacentral:rRNA from 1 species